GGUGGUAGUGAGAGAGACAAACAGGAUUGAAGUGGAGGGCAAGGUGGAGGGAGUGCUGGGCCGUCGUCGGGCUUCGGGAACGUCCGGAAAAGGGUGGCAACGGUGGCGAGGUGAGGAGGGAGAGAAAUCAGCCGCAGAAAGCACCGAGAGCUACGAGCCAUUGUUCGUCUAACGGGCCUGUUGUCUUGUUGACUGUGCUGGAACCUGCUGCCUGUAUUUCCGUCAGACGCCGCCGACACUGCAACAACAACAACAACAAAAAUCGACCCUCCAGAUUAAUAACGUUACAGAAAAAUUGGUUGGACUACGCCUCGGGCAAGCAGUGAGUACACUCGCUGGACUCAGACCCCGGUGACGGAGGCGCUGGGACUGGGUACAGCCCCGCAAAUGCCUGCUCACGCUACUCAUGGCGGAAGGACCUCAACGAGAGGGAGCCCUGCAGGGUACUUGGUCUACUCUUCCACGUUGAUCAAACAUUUUGAAAGAGGUGCGUUUACACACACUUUACCCCACCACACGCGACCUACCGAUACACUUUACCCAUUGACACUGAGGUCUUAAGACGCUUGUCCAUUGUUUCAACUGCUGGGCCGGAAGAUGGAAAUCAAGUUGGCACUUUCCAGAGUGCCAUUGCAGCGUGACAAAUGAUCCUCAUGGCGGUACCCCGGGGUACCAAAUAAAACUAAAUGGCCGAGGCAAUUAAAUACUUUAUUUCUGGGACACUAUUUUUGUCCAGGGGUGUUACUCAACUCCGCAACUGGUCUACCAAUCAAUCCUAAAUCAGUGCCACACUCCGCAAUGUGGAAACGCAGCGCGCCGAAACCCUGAACGCUCGCACGCACCG